UUGUCCGCCAGUGCGCUCCUGGCACACUGGCUUGCACUCUCCGAGCGUCCCCUCUCCCCACCCUCCUGCUCCUCACAGAUCAGCGGCUGUCUGUCUGUCUGCCUUGAGAGAGAGAGACCAUUAACGACUGCUAACACGACCCAGAGCUCCACACACGCGCGACUAUUUCGCCGACUGCGCCAUGCUGCUGCGUAGGGCUGCCCCAGCCGCGUCCACAUGUGCCGUGGCGGGCUAUGUCUGUGGCUCCACAUGCAGCGCUCGCCGAAGUCUUUCCACGGUUACCUCAACGCUGCCGCUGUCGUCGCAUCAGUGCCUCUGUGCGCCUGCGGCGUCCUCCAGUCAUGGCACCCCAGAGAGAACUGUCGCUAGCCUCGAUAACCGGCGUCGGCACUCCACCACAUCCGCGACAGCCAGCUUCUCGGCAAGCGAUGACAUUCCGAGUGACGUGCUGCAGCGUGUCGCUGGCCGCAAGCAAGAAAUGCUUCGCCUUCUGCGCCUGGCUGCUGGGCACGCGGCAGCGCCGGCGGAAAAGAUGGAGGGCGUCUUCGAGCGGCACUGUGGCUUUGUGGACACGAAGGCGGCGAGCACAGGGAACGAGCGUGCACCAUCCACGACUGCUGCUGCGUGGCGGACAGCAGUCUGGCGAACACUGCAGCUCCACUGCUACUUCACCCUGACCGUCAUCGAAAACGGAAGAGGAGGCAACGCGAAGGAUCGUGUGGUGAGUGUCGUGCCGUUUAGCUGGGCUUCUACCCUCUGCCAGGUUGCAACUCAGAUUCCGUACGAGGGCUGGACGGAGCAGGAGCUGCUCGCACGUCUGCGAAGCAACUGGCCGAUCUUAAAGACGUAUACCCCCGUUUGGUCUACACGGUACAGCGGUGUCAACUCCCUCGCGCAGCUGGUAUACAGGCACUUCAGCUCUAUCUUGACAGUGACACGGUCUGCCGUGACGGGUGAGGUGCUGUACCACCGCACCGGACACAACAGCGUUUCGGUAACCUGGCGGGCGUCACCAGAUGCAUCAGCCAAGACACAAGCCCCGUCUGGUGCUCCGGGGGCCAACGAGGCGUCUGCUGCCGUUCAGUACGCCUUGCACACACUUGGCCGCGGCCACCAGCUGCCAGUGUGGACGGAUGUCGACCAGGUGGCGCCGCUGUUGUCAGCUCAAUCGGGUCUGGCCGAUGGGCGUCCGUCCACGUGGCAGGAGGCGUUCGCCAAGGACGCAGAGCUGCGCGGCACCUUUCAACUCGAGGGUUACGUGCGUGUACGGGCCAUUCAAGACCAGCAGCGCUUUAUGGCCAUCGUGGACUGCACCUCCGUUUCAAGUGCUGAGCUGAGGGCGUUACUCAGGCAGCAUCCCAUGAGGGGCGGCGGCGUCAGCGUGAAACUCCUGCUACGUGAUGGCAUGGCGCCGGAAUCACAUGAAGCGUACGCAAAGACUUGCAAGGAGGCUUUGGGGCCCUCCACCCUCAUCGAAGACGUGCUCGUGGACGCGUUGUUGGAACCGGAGCAUCUUUUUGCUGCACUCCUCGAGGCGGUGGCGACGGAUAUGGCACGCGACGUGGCGAGUGCGGCGCAGCCGGCAGAGUGCACCGCAGUAUCAGAGGAUGUCGAGUCCGAAGCGCCGGAGAAAGGUGGCAUGCUGUUGCCAUCAUCUCCAUUAACUCCUGUGCCCGUUAUAGUGCUCUGUGGCGCGGCAUCCCGUGAGGCGUUUGCGGCAGUGGUGGCGGAUGUACCCUCGUCGAAGGUGGCGAUAACCGUGCUCACACCCAAGCCACUGGCGCAUACGUAGGGUACGGCAUCAACGGCGGGUUGUGGACGAAACAAGCUCGUGCGUGUGCGUUUCCAAUGGGAGUGCUGUGGCGCCAGAUGCAGUGGUAAUGCCUGAAGGCGCGUCUGCAUUCGGACAGAAGCUUGAGCUGGAGCCAUGCAUGUGUGCCUAGAUGGAUGUCGAGCAGCUCAGCAGCCAUCGAGUCGUGAAGUGCGCCGAUGGACGGCAGCGAUGAUGGGUCGUGGCGCCUCACCGGCGACUCUUUCAAGCUUCUUCCCUCGUGCAUGUUUUCACAUCCUCUCUCUUUGCACGGGACAGCGUGUGCGUGUCUCUCACGUGCGCUGACGCGAACAUGCGGGGCUGAUGUGGCGUUGCGUGAACGAGGACCCCCGCGAUGCCGCAGCCGUCCGCGCGCGCUUUGUGUGCGGAGCGUUCUGGUGGAGUGUGGCGCUGCUGUCGUUCGCGCCGAGUGGUCGCC
rnacentral:misc_RNA from 1 species